rnacentral:rRNA from 1 species
GUCUCAAAGAUUAAGCCAUGCAUGUCUAAGUAUAAAUCAUUUAUACAGGUGAAACUGCGAAUGGCUCAUUAAAUCAGUUAUAGUUUAUUUGAUAGUACAAUUACUACUUGGAUAACCGUGGUAAUUCUAGAGCUAAUACAUGCUAAAAGUCCCGACUUCUGGAAGGGACGUAUUUAUUAGAUAAAAACCAAUAA